rfam:Triticum aestivum genome assembly, contig: Triticum_aestivum_CS42_TGACv1_scaffold_471145_6AL
UUUCUACUCCCUCCGUCCGAAAAUACUUGUCAUCAAAAUGGAUAAAAAUAGAUGUAUCUAAAACUAAAAUACAUCUAGAUACAUUUCCUUUUAUCCAUUUUGAUGACAAGUAUUUCCGGACGGAGGGAGUAUUUG